UGGGGAAUUUUGGACAAUGGGCGAAAGCCUGAUCCAGCAAUGCCGCGUGUGUGAAGAAGGCCUUCGGGUUGUAAAGCACUUUUGUCCGGAAAGAAAUCCUUGGCUCUAAUACAGUCGGGGGAUGACGGUACCGGAAGAAUAAGCACCGGCUAACUACGUGCCAGCAGCCGCGGUAAUACGUAGGGUGCAAGCGUUAAUCGGAAUUACUGGGCGUAAAGCGUGCGCAGGCGGUUUGCUAAGACAGAUGUGAAAUCCCCGGGCUCAACCUGGGAACUGCAUUUGAAACUGGCAAGCUAGAGUCUCGUAGAGGGGGGUAGAAUUCCAGGUGUAGCGGUGAAAUGCGUAGAGAUCUGGAGGAAUACCGGUGGCGAAGGCGCCC
rnacentral:rRNA from 1 species